rnacentral:rRNA from 1 species
AUUGAACGUAGGCGGAAUGUUUUACACAGGCAAGUUGAUCGGCAGCAUAGGUGGAAACACCUGAUGGUGAGCGCCGAAAGGAUGAGUAAUACAUGGGAACGUUCCCAGUUCUGGGGGAUAAGGUAGAGAAAGUUACGCUAAUUCGUCAUAAGAUCUACGGAGGAAAGUGGGGGACGGUAAGGCCUCGCGUGUCAGUAGCGGCGGAUGUUAGAUUAGUUAGUGGCCGGGGUAAAGUCUUAGCAAGCGGAAGAUUUAUAGCCGGUAUGAGAGGAUGAUCACCCACACUGGGACUGAGACACGAGCCAGACUCGUACGGGAGGCUGCAGUGGGGAAUUUUGGACAAUGGGGGCAAGCCUGAUCCAGCCAUUCCGCGUGCAGGAGGAAGGCUUUGGGGUUGUAAUACAUGCUUUUGUACAGAAGGAAAAGGUCUGAGUUAAUACCUCGGGGUCAAGACGGUACUGUAAGACUAAGCACCGGCUAACUAUGUGCCAGCAGAC